rnacentral:rRNA from 1 species
AACGAACGCUGGCGGCAUGCCUAACACAUGCAAGUCGAACGAGACCUUCGGGUCUAGUGGCGCACGGGUGCGUAACGCGUGGGAACCUGCCCUUAGGUUCGGAAUAACUCCCCGAAAGGGGUGCUAAUACCGGAUAAUGUCUUCGGACCAAAGAUUUAUCGCCUUUGGAUGGGCCCGCGUUGGAUUAGCUAGUUGGUAGGGUAAAAGCCUACCAAGGCGACGAUCCAUAGCUGGUCUGAGAGGAUGAUCAGCCACACUGGGACUGAGACACGGCCCAGACUCCUACGGGAAGCAGCAGUGGGGAAUAUUGGACAAUGGGCGAAAGCCUGAUCCAGCAAUGCCGCGUGAGUGAUGAAGGCCUUAGGGUUAUAAAGCUCUUUUACCCGGGACGAUAAUGACAGUACCGGGAGAAUAAGCUCCGGCUAACUCCGUG